rnacentral:rRNA from 1 species
GUGAGGAAUAUUGCGCAAUGGAGGCAACUCUGACGCAGCCAUGCCGCGUGCAGGAAGAAGGCGCUACGCGUUGUAAACUGCUUUUAACCGGGAAGAAACCCCAGGACGUGUCCUGGGUUGACGGUACCGGAGGAAUAAGCACCGGCUAACUUCGUGCCAGCAGCCGCGGUAAUACGAAGGGUGCAAGCGUUAUCCGGAUUCAUUGGGUUUAAAGGGUGCGUAGGCGGAGCGUUAAGUCAGUGGUGAAAUCCUGCAGCUUAACUGUAGACUUGGCAUUGAUACUGGCGCUCUUGAGUGCGCUUGAAGUGGGCGGAAUGUGCCGUGUAGCGGUGAAAUGCUUAGAUAUGGCACAGAACACCAAUUGCGAAGGCAGCUCACUAAGGCGAUACUGACGCUGAGGCACGAAAGCGUGGGGAUCGAACAGGAUUAGAAACCCUAGUAGUCC